CAUGCACUGGUGGGGUCCCUCAGCCUGGCCUGUGCCCUCUCGCAAUUCUGGACCCCUUGGGGGAUGUUGGAGAGUGGGUUUUGGCCUGAUCCUCACAGGCCAGGCUGAGGGACCCCACUGGUGCAUG
rfam:Myotis davidii contig195464, whole genome shotgun sequence.